GGACCCGUGGCCUAGUUCGGAUAGGGCAUCGGCCUCCUAAGCCGGGAGUCGGGGGUUCAAAUCCCUCCGGGUCCGCCA
rnacentral:tRNA from 1 species